CGCGGCCGGAGCAGGGGGAAGAGUCGGCGGAGUGGAGGAGCUUUAACAGCUCUUGUAAGAGCUAUAACCGCCGCGAGCGGUCCCACCGCCAGCGGUCCCUGCGCCUGCUGCCUCCUGCAGCUUCCAGCCACCUGCAGCCCUGCCUCCGGCGGUCCUGCCUCCAGCAGCCCCGAGCCGCCAUCUGCAGCCUC